CCCAUUAACUGCUGUGGGACAUGAAAGUUGGGUGUGGGAAGAACGACAGGCAGUCACAAGUUCUGCUCUAAAAUCCCUACGCCACCACCCGCAGCGUGAAAUCUGAUCCAAUCCUCCCCUCAUCGCCUCCUAUUAAUACCCACGAGUCGAUCUUCCCUUCGGUAAUCCUCUCAUCCAUGCAAUUCCUUAGUGUUCUAGUUUGAUUUUGCUUUCUCUAAUCGAGAUGUCCGCCUACUCCGGCCAAUAUCACGAUGAGCUUAUUGCCAAUGCUGCUUAUAGAAGUACUGUGUUUAUCUCGAACAGACAAUUUUGACAAGUCAAAACAAAAUGAUCAAGCUUCUGUUCCUGCGAGAUGGAGUCAAAGGAGGGCGACGGCUGGACGUGGCAGAAUGCCACCAAGAUUGACAUAGAGAUCAAAGCAUACUUAUGUGGCAAAAGAUAAUUACGCUUGCUCCCCACGCCGCCCACCUGCCCACCCCAGGACCAAUACGAAAGAGGUAAAUCAUGGUAACUAAGCGGCAAGUGGAAGAGGGGGCCAAGGUCCAGACCGAAGUGAAGUUGUUCUAGGCCGAGCAAGAUGCAGAAGUUGUAACUGCCGAUGCACAACUCACCGUGAAGAAGUCGGAGUGGUUACGCCAAGCCAAGGUAGCCGACGUUGAGGCCGCCAAGACUGUCGCCAUUAGGAACUUCGACCUGGAUCUCAAGCUGGAGAAGAAGGAGAUCGGGAAAGAGGGCCUCAAGAAGAAGCUUGUCAAGGAGGAGGAAGGCUGGGACAUGCCUGAGGUUGGAGACGAGGUUGAAGUGCACUACACUGGGACACUGCUUGAUGGGACUAAGUUUGAUUCCAACUACAAUCGAGGUACACCCUCCAAGUCCAAGCUCGGCCAAGGUCAAGUAAUAAAGGAAUGAGAUGUUGCCCUAGUUACUAUCCCACCUGAAUAUGCAUAUGGCUCCACUGAAUCAAAGCAGGAACUAGCUGUGGUUCCUCCUAAUAACACUGCCUAUUUUAAAGAGGAGAUGAUGUCCUUCGUCAA